UACGUAGGGUGCAAGCGUUGUCCGGAAUUAUUGGGCGUAAAGAGCUCGUAGGCGGUUUGUCGCGUCUGCUGUGAAAACCCGAGGCUCAACCUCGGGCCUGCAGUGGGUACGGGCAGACUAGAGUGCGGUAGGGGAGAUUGGAAUUCCUGGUGUAGCGGUGGAAUGCGCAGAUAUCAGGAGGAACACCAAUGGGCGAAGGCAGAUCUCUGGGCCGUAACUGACGCUGAGGAGCGAAAGCAUGGGGAGCGAACAGG
rnacentral:rRNA from 1 species